UCAAACUCAUGAACUGUGAGAUCACAACCGGAGCCGAGAUCACGAGUAGGAUGCUUAACCAACUUAGCCACCAAGGCACCCUUUCUUUUUCUUUUUCUUUUUUUUUCUUUUUCUUUUUCUUUUUCUUUUUCUUCUUCUUCUUCUUCUUCUUCUUCUUCUUUCUUUUUCUUUUUCUUUUCUUUUUUAAAUCCAUAAGAGUGUAUUUGUUUUGUUUUGUUUUUGAGAGUUGCCAACUUUUUAUUUUCCAUGAACAGACAAAAACCAAAUCCGCUGUCAUAUACAACCUCCUCCUAAGAAGGUCACCUUAACAACAAAAGUGUAGGAGGGAAGUCAUCUCAGAACAGCAGAUUUAUUGCUCCCAGACAGGACAGCAUUAUUUACAAUAGCCAAGAUAUGGAAUCCAUCAAUGGAAGUGCCCAUCGAUAGAUGAAUAAAGAAGGCAUGAUACAUCCACACACUGGAAUAUUACUCAGCCAUAAAAAAGAAUGAGAUCAAGAUGGAAACAGGGAAGAUGCUCAGAACAAGGAGAGCAGCAAAGCCACUCUCACAGCUGUUCUUGGGAAGGGAUUGUCAACUUCUUGGUACCUGGUGGCUGUGGCUUCCAAAAGCCUCAAGGCUUUAGCUGACUAAGGUGGGAAAAUGUGGCACUGCAACAAGCCAGUGCCCCUUCCCCCAAACAAAUAAAGCAAACUUGUGGGAUGUAUUUCUUCCACAUGGCAUCUGUGUCCAGUGUUUAAUUGUUCCAGACAGCACCUGCUUAUAAAUUAGAACGUAGAAGCUAGAGAAGGCUGUGCUGGAUAAUUUUUAUUGAUCUAAGGUUCGGGAUCUUGAUUUUCUCAGCCAUCAUGUGAACAACUAUGUUAUAUAAUCUCUAGGGUG